UACGGGGGGGGCAAGCGUUGUUCGGAAUUACUGGGCGUAAAGGGCUCGUAGGCGGCCAACUAAGUCAUACGUGAAAUCCCCCGGCUUAACCGGGGAACUGCGUCUGAUACUGGAUGGCUUGAGUUCGGGAGAGGGAUGCGGAAUUCCAGGUGUAGCGGUGAAAUGCGUAGAGAUCAGGAGGAAUACCGAUGGCGAAGGCAGGUCUCUGGGCUGAUACUGACGCUGAGGAGCGAAAGCCAGGGGAGCAAACGGG
rnacentral:rRNA from 1 species